CAAAAUGUAGCUAAGUAGUAAAGCGCCUCCCUUACACCGAGGAGACCCCGCGCAAUUCGGGCCAUUUUGA
rnacentral:tRNA from 1 species